rnacentral:tRNA from 1 species
GGAGAGGUGGCAGAGCCCGGUUGAAUGCACUCGAUUCGAAAUCGAGCAGGGGGAAACUCCUCGGGGGUUCGAAUCCCUCCCUCUCCGCCA